AAGGUCUCCCACAAUUGACUAGGAAAGAGUCCCAGAGCAUCUCAGCACAAAGAACCCUGGGAUAUGCCCUCAGAGACACUUGGGUUUGGGCUUUUAGUCCUUUUGUGAUCAAGAGACUUUCAGAUGUAAGCCUGCAGAUAGUGGCUUUGUCUACACUGGACUGGUUCAGUUCACUACACUGGUUCAGGGGUCUGAAAAAACCACACCCCCGAAUGACAAAAGUUUUGCCGCUGAAAAGCGCCGGUGUGAACAGUGGUUUGUCGGCAGGAGAGUGUCUACUAUCCAUGAUCAGAUCAUUUUCUAAUCAAGACCUGGCUAUUUUGGAGAUGAUUGCAGGAGUGUGCAUACAAAAUAUGAGAGACAUGCACACGCAAAGGUCAAGAAGUCUGGGUCUGUGUCCCGAACAACUCCAUCUCCUGCCUUACUUUGUAUGUUGGAACCACAUGAUGGAUCAUUUGAGUUACAUAACAGCUCCCCUUCUCCCUC